CCAAAAACAGCUGUUAGGGUUUGCUGAUUCAUCAAAAGGUUGUUUUAUUAACGGUUAUUAUCCCAUGUCUAUAUUUGAUUAAUUUUUAUCAUGACACUUAACAAAAAGUUAGCAGAACAACUGUCAAAAUUUUGUUUAUAUCACUGCAUAUGGGAAAUCGUAGUUUCUUUUUUGUCAAGAUAAAACAUUUUUUUAGUCAUUGUAGAGAAAUGAAAUUAAAGAAAGCGGUCCGCCUUUUAAUUGCAUUAAAGCAGAUUAAUGAACUGAUAGAGUCUGAUGAAUACUUAAAAAGGGUAAGAAGGAUGAACCCCUUUUUGAAAAAGAGGGAGCUGCAUAAUUUGGAGGCUCAUCUAUUAAAAGAUAUUCUAUGGGAGGAAAAAGAGUACCAAAACUUUUGUCGGUUGAAGAUAGAUGACUUCGAAAAAUCAUUAAACCUGGUAAGUAUAUUAAGAAUU